rnacentral:rRNA from 1 species
GGUAGCAUACGCUUACCUCAAAGACUAAGCCAUGCAUGCCCCGCACAAGCUUCUACGGCGAAACUGCGAACGGCUCAUUACACCAGUGGCAACGUGCGCGGUGGUCCCUGCUAGUUGGAUAACGCUGGCAACUCCAGUGCUAAUACAUGGCUUUUUUCGCUGCACGCCAGCGGGCUUCGGCUCAGGCGAAUCACAGUGAAACACUGACCGCACCGGCAGACCGCUUCGGCUUCUGAGGCAUCAUCUAGCGUCGGCAGGGUAGUGGCCUGCCGAGGAGUUAACGCCUAACGGAGGAUCAGGGUCCGACUCCGGAGAGUGAGCCUGAGAGACGGCCCACACAUCCAAGGAAGGCAGCAGGCGCGGAAAUUGCCCAAUGCAUCAUUGCGAGGCAGUGACGAGGAAUAGCCUGCCAUUCGUGGUUUGGCAAUGGAGGCGGUGUAUAUGCCCGCCCGAGUAACAAGUCGAGGGAAAGGUCUGGUGCCAGCAGCCGCGGUAAUUCCAGCUCGACAAGCGUAUACUAACGUUGCUGCAGUUAAAACGUUCGUAGUCGGGCCUGCCGCCUUCACUGGCGGCCGCCAUGAGGAAAUUGGAGCGCUCAGCGCCCCGCCAUACAGUUCAGCAUGGGACGGCACCACGACGACGCGUUGUGCUGGCCUCGUAUUCGUAAUGACAAAUGGGGAUGACUCGUGGGCGUCGGUACCCGCUGGGGACAGGUGAAAUAGGAUGAUCCAGCGGAGACCCCCCGACGCGAAAGCGCUCGCCAAGGGCUUCCCCGUCGAUCAAGAUCGAAAGCCAGGGGAUAGAAGGCGAUCAGACACCACCGUAUUCCUGGCCGUAAACGAUGCCGACUUUGGACCGGCGGGGCUCGUUCUCGUCGGGACUCCAGGGAAACCGAAAGUCUUCGGGUUCUGGGGGGAGUACGGUCGCAAGGCUGAAACUUGAAGGCAUUGACGGAGAGGUACCACCAGACGUGGAGUCUGCGGCUCAAUUUGACUCAACACGUGAACCUUACCAGGCCCAGACGCGCGGAGGAUUGACAGGCUGAGAGCUCUUUCAUGAUUGUGCGGUUGGUGGUGCAUGGCCGUUCUUAGCCCGUAGCGUGAGCCGUCUGCUCUAUUGCGAUAACGAGCGAGAUCCCCGCCACUGUUUCUCAGUGGGACUGCCCGGGCCAACCGGGAGGAAGGUGGGGGCGAUAACAGGUCUGUGAUGCCCUUAGAUGCCCUGGGCUGCACGCGUACUACACUGGCCGGCUCAAAGCGACGCACUCCCGAGAGGGACUGCCAAGCGCGAGUGCCGGUCGUGCCCGGGAUCGGGGCCUGUAAUGGCCCCGUGAACCAGGAACGUCUAGUAAGCGCGUGUCACCAUCGCGCGCUGGCUGCGUCCCUGCCCCUUGUACACACCGCCCGUCGCUCCUACCGACUGGGCGCUUUGGCGAGCUCUUCGGACUGCUUCGGCAGGAAGUCGCGCGAGCCCCAGCGCUUGAAGGAAGGAGAAGUCGUAACAAGGUAUCC